rnacentral:lncRNA from 1 species
CCUUCAGCACCUCGGUGCAGGUCAACAAAGGCAUGCAGAUCAGUUGCCACAACACAACGUGCCGGGUGUUUUGCUCACUACCUGCAGAAACUGCCUUGCUCAACAGAGACACACUCAGAGCUUCGCGUCACUUGAGCAAGACUGGAAGCCCCUGAAGGCUGGUUCUAUCCUUUUCCAUAUGCCACCCACUCCCCAGGGCUGUGCUCAGUAACCGGUCAGAGACUGACAUCCUGCAGUGGGAGUCCAGGAUGAAUGUAAUGAAAGUUCCCAAGUUGCCAGCUUCUUACUGAAUCUGCAACAAAGGAAAAGAUCUUCCUUCACAGACUAUAAAAGACAAAUUGGCUGAGUUGGAGUGGGCAGAUGUAGCUUUCAUCAGUCCUGGAUAGACUUCACGGUGGCUCGCCCAAUGGGACAUGCAGAAUAUCUGGCUGUGGUCUUCGGUACCCAUCCACCAGGAAGCAGGUGUGGCAAAUGUUGCUGGUGGGAUGCAGCCCUGGAGAAAGUAUUCACCUUUGUAAGGAAAUAAUUCCCAGCCCUGGGAGCAGCUGGAUCGUACAGCAGUGAGGCCUUUUCACAGUGCGGCAGAGCCCUCCUGGGAGUGCCCAGCACCUCCUCCAAGCAGCACUCAGGCUCUGGCUAGAGCUCUUGUGGGCUGGGCAAAGGGGACAUGAGUGCCACGCUGUCUGGGAACAGUGUUGCUUGUCCCUGUCCAAUGGGGAAAGAAGAGCUGGUCUCAGACAUCAAGAGGGGUGUCACAAACCCCUAAGAGAGGUGUUCAGUUCCCUCUGAAACAGGUUUCCAGUCAUUAUGUAUUCAGUUCUGAAAACAUCAACUUCUCUCAACAUUUCUCCUGAGCACGCGGAGCCAGGAAAAUGUGAAGCUACUUGAAUCCCCUCUCCAUGGCCAGGAAUGGAUCAUCGUAAGGUGCUGGCCAGUGAAGUGUACUCCGGUUUCUCUCUUCUCUCUCCUGGGUGAGCCUCUCGUGACAUGGUCCCAGCGAUCACCUCUGAGCAACGCCUUGCAGAACAGUGGUGCUGCCCUGAGCCAGCUCUGGUCCCGAAUUUCUUACUGCUUUGAUUCAAGAGGGUUGACUAGUUCCUUUCAGAUCUGACUUUCCUAAAAUGGGAGCCCUAUUUUGAUUUCUUCGUUUCCGUCCCAUGGCUGACAGUGCUCGGUCAGCUGGCCUGCAAAGCACAUGCUGUCCCUCAUUGUUCCCU